rnacentral:misc_RNA from 1 species
GAUGAAGAACGUAGCGAAAUGCGAUAAGUAAUGUGAAUUGCAGAAUUCAGUGAAUCAUCGAAUCUUUGAACGCACCUUGCGCCCUUUGGCCAUUCCGAAGGGCAUGCCUGUUUGAGUAUCAUGAACACCUCAACUCUUCAUGGUUUUCCAUGAUGAGCUUGGACUUUGGGGGUCUUGCUGGCCUGUGGGUCGGCUCCUCUCAAAUGAAUCAGCUUGCCGGUUUUUGGUGGGCAUCACAGGUGUGAUAACUAUCUACGCUUGUGGUUUUCCACCAGGGUAACCUUCAGCAGUGGAGGUUCACUGGAGCUUACAAAUGUCUCUCCUCUGUGAGGACAGCCCUUUGAAUGUUUGAUCUCAAAUCAGGUAGGACUACCCGCUGAACUUAAGCAUAUCAAUAAGCCGAGGA